GCCUAAUGUGGUAGCAUGUACCUGCAGUCCAUCUAACUACUCCAGAAGCUAAGGCAGGAAAAUCACUUGAGACCAGAAGUUCUGGGCUAUAGUGCACUAUGCUCAUCAGCGUCCACACUAAGUUUGGCAUCAGUACAGUGAACUGGGAGUGAGGGACCACCAGAGUACCUAAGAAGGGGUGAACUAGCCCGGGUCAGAAAUGGAGCAGGUCAAAACUCUUCCUGAUUAGUAGUGGGAUCAUACCUAUGAAUAGCCACUGUACUCUAGCCUGGGCAACAUAGUUAGUCCUUGUCU
ensembl:misc_RNA Metazoa_SRP Metazoan signal recognition particle RNA